UACACGGCUAGAGUAUUGGAGAGGUGAGUGGAAUUCCAGGUGUAGCGGUGAAAUGCGUAGAUAUCUGGAGGAACACCAACGGCGAAGGCAGCUCACUGGACAAUGACUGACGCUGAGGGACGAAAGCGUGGGGAGCGAAAGGGAUUAGAUACCCCUGUAGUCCACGCCGUAAACUUUGUGCACUCGCUAUUGGCGGAUUCGACCCCGUCAGUGGCCAAGCUAACGCGAUAAGUGCACCGCCUGAGGACUACGGCCGCAAGGCUAAAACUCAAAGGAAUUGACGGGUCCCCGCACAGGCGGUGGAGCAUGUGGCUUAAUUCGAUGCAACGCGAAGAACCUUACCAGGUCUUGACAUGUAGCGGACCGGGGCAGAGAUGCCCCUUCUCUUCGGAGCCGCUUCACAGGUGCUGCAUGGCUGUCGUCAGCUCGUGUCGUGAGAUGUUCGGUUAAGUCCGUCAACGAGCGCAACCCCUGUCCUUAGUUGCCAGCAUUCAGUUGGGGACUCUAAGGAGACAAUCCCGCUUUUGCGGGAGGGAAGGUGGGGAUGAUGUCAAGUCAGUAUGGCCCUUACGGCCUGGGCUGCACACGUGCUACAAUGCCCGGUACAAUAGGUCGCUACUCCGCGAGGAGAUGCUAAUCCAGAAAGCCGGGCCCAGUUCGGAUUGGAGUCUGCAACUCGACUCCAUGAAGUCGGAAUCGCUAGUAAUGGCGCAUCAGCAAUGGCGCCGUGAAUACGUUCGCCGGGGAUUGUACACACCGCCCGUCACAUCAUGAAAACCGGUUUCGCCCGAAGUACGUGCGCCAACCUUCGUGGAGGCAGCGUCCGACGGUGAGGCUGGUGAUUGGGAUGAAGUCGUAA
rnacentral:rRNA from 1 species